GAGUGAACGCUGGCGGUAGGCCUAACCCAUGCAAGUCGAACGGCAGCACAGUAAGAGCUUGCUCUUACGGGUGGCGAGUGGCGGACGGGUGCGGAAUACAUCGGAAUCUACUUUUUCGUGGGGGCUAACGUAGGGAAACUUACGCUAAUACCGCAUACGACCUACGGGUGAAAGCAUGGGAUCUUCGGACCUUGCGCGAUUGAAUGAGCCGAUGUCGGAUUAGCUAGUUGGCGGGGUAAAGGCCCACCAAGGCGACGAUCCGUAGCUGGUCUGAGAGGAUGAUCAGCCACACUGGAACUGAGACACGGUCCAGACUCCUACGGGAGGCAGCAGUGGGGAAUAUUGGACAAUGGGCGCAAGCCUGAUCCAGCCAUACCGCGUGGGUGAAGAAGGCCUUCGGGUUGUAAAGCCCUUUUGUUGGGAAAGAAAAGCAGCAGGUUAAUACCCCGCUGUUCUGACGGUACCCAAAGAAUAAGCACCGGCUAACUUCGUG
rnacentral:rRNA from 1 species